AAGAAGAGGAGAGAUUAGAAUGAAAGAAGGCUUCUACUGGAUACAGCACAACGGCAGGGUUCAGGUUGCUUACUACACCCACGGCGUAACCGAGGACCUGGAAACUGGUCAGACUAUUAUUGGUGUCUGGCAUCUGACGCAGGGCGAUGACAUUUGUCACAACGGAGAGGCUGAGAUUCUGGCGGGACCGUUAGAACCUCCAAUUUAAUACAUAUUCCAUUUGAGGCUGCCAUUCGGCGGCCUUUUUU
rnacentral:sRNA from 2 species